CCUACGGGAGGCAGCAGUGGGGAAUAUUGGACAAUGGACGAAAGUCUGAUCCAGCAAUGCCGCGUGAGUGAUGAAGGCCUUGGGGUUGUAAAGCUCUUUUACCAGGGAUGAUAAUGACAGUACCUGGAGAAUAAGCUCCGGCUAACUCCGUGCCAGCAGCCGCGGUAAUACGGAGGGAGCUAGCGUUGUUCGGAAUUACUGGGCGUAAAGCGCACGUAGGCGGUUAUUCAAGUCAGAGGUGAAAGCCCGGGGCUCAACCCCGGAACUGCCUUUGAAACUAGAUAGCUAGAAUCCUGGAGAGGUGAGUGGAAUUCCGAGUGUAGAGGUGAAAUUCGUAGAUAUUCGGAAGAACACCAGUGGCGAAGGCGGCUC
rnacentral:rRNA from 1 species